rnacentral:rRNA from 1 species
CCUACGGGGGGCUGCAGUCGGGAAUUUUGGGCAAUGGGCGAAAGCCUGACCCAGCAACGCCGCGUGAAGGAUGAAGUUUUUCGGAAUGUAAACUUCGUAAGAAUAGGAAGAAUAAAUGACGGUACUAUUUGUAAGGUCCGGCUAACUACGUGCCAGCAGCCGCGGUAAUACGUAGGGACCAAGCGUUGUUCGGAUUUACUGGGCGUAAAGGGCGCGUAGGCGGCAAUUCAAGUCAGCUGUGAAAUCUCCGGGCUUAACUCGGAACGGUCAGCUGAUACUGUUUUGCUAGAGUGUAGAAGGGGCAAUCGGAAUUCUUGGUGUAGCGGUGAAAUGCGUAGAUAUCAAGAGGAACACCAGAGGUGAAGACGGGUUGCUGGGCUGACACUGACGCUGAGGCGCGAAAGCUAGGGUAGCAAACGGGAUUAGAUACCCCGGUAGUC